rnacentral:rRNA from 3 species
GAUACCCGAAUGGGGAAACCCAGUGUGACUCGUCACACUAUCAUUAACUGAAUCCAUAGGUUAAUGAGGCGAACCGGGGGAACUGAAACAUCUAAGUACCCCGAGGAAAAGAAAUCAACCGAGAUUCCCCCAGUAGCGGCGAGCGAACGGGGAGGAGCCCAGAGCCUGAAUCAGCAUGUGUGUUAGUGGAAGCGUCUGGAAAGGCGCGCGAUACAGGGUGACAGCCCCGUACACAAAAGCGCAUGUGCUGUGAGCUCGAUGAGUAGGGCGGGACACGUGGUAUCCUGUCUGAAUAUGGGGGGACCAUCCUCCAAGGCUAAAUACUCCUGACUGACCGAUAGUGAACCAGUACCGUGAGGGAAAGGCGAAAAGAACCCCGGCGAGGGGAGUGAAAAAGAACCUGAAACCGU